rnacentral:rRNA from 1 species
UUGAGGGAAGUCUGGUGCCCGCUUCCGCGGUAAUUCCAGCUCCAAUAGCGUAUAUUAAAGUUGUUGCAGUUAACAAGCUCCUAGUUGAACUUCAGACCUGGCCGGGCGGUCCGCUUAACGGCGUGUACUGUCUGCGCUGGGUCUUACCUCUUGGUGAACCGGCGUGCCCUUUAUCAGUGUGCGUCGGGCAACCUGGACUUUUACCUUGAUAACAUUAGAGUGUUCCAAGCAGGCCUAUGCCUGAAUACAUUAGCAUGGAAUAAUAAAAUCUGACGUGCGGUUCUAUUUUGUUGGUUUCUAUACUCGCCGUACUGAUUAAUAGGGAUAGUUGGGGACAUUGGUAUUGAGUCGCUAGAGGUGAACUUCCUGGAUUGACUCAAGACCAACUACUGCGCAACCAUUUGUCAAGGAUGUUUUCUUUAAUCAAGAACGAACGUUAGGGGAUCGAAAACCAUCAGAUACCGUUGUAGCUCUUCAUCGUCAACUAUGCCGACUAGGGAUCGGAUGACCUCAAUUUUGAUGUGUCGUUCGGCGCCUUACCGGAAAC